UAGGGAAUCUUCGGCAAUGGACGAAAGUCUGACCGAGCAACGCCGCGUGAGUGAAGAAGGUUUUCGGAUCGUAAAACUCUGUUGUUAGAGAAGAACGUUGCAUAGAGUGGAAAAUUAUGCAAGUGACGGUAUCUAACCAGAAAGGGACGGCUAACUACGUGCCAGCAGCCGCGGUAAUACGUAGGUCCCGAGCGUUGUCCGGAUUUAUUGGGCGUAAAGCGAGCGCAGGUGGUUUAAUAAGUCUGAUGUAAAAAGGCAGUGGCUCAACCAUUGUGUGCAUUGGAAACUGUUAGACUUGAGUGCAGUAGAGGAGAGUGGAAUUCCAUGUGUAGCGGUGAAAUGCGUAGAUAUAUGGAGGAACACCGGUGGCGAAAAGCGGCUCUCUGGACUGUCACUGACACUGAGGCUCGAAAGCGUGGGUAGCAAACAGGAUUAGAUACCCUGGUAGUCCACGCCGUAAACGAUGAGUGCUAGUUGUUUGGGGCUAUCCAGCCCUAAGUGACGCAGCAAACGCAUU
rnacentral:rRNA from 1 species